GCUCCAGAGCCGCGGGUUGCCGACCCCUGGGUUAGGGUAACAAGCCCCGGGUAACGGUCUUUCAGCGCCAUCUCCCGGCAGAGUUCCGGCACAUCAGGCGUUUUAUACCCACCCGCCUGUUUUGUUUCCAGAUAGCUCAAUCCAUCAUGGCGAUGCAUGCAAAGGCCACUCCGCCACAGAUCCCGGACACCCGCCGGGAGCUCGCCGAGCUGGUGAAGAGGAAACAAGAACUUGCUGAGACACUGGUGAACUUGGAAAGACAAAUAUACGCAUUUGAAGGCAGCUACCUAGAAGACACGCAGAUGUACGGCAACAUCAUCAGAGGAUGGGACAGAUACCUCACCAACCAAAAGAACUCCAACAGUAAGACUGACAGAAGGAAUAGGAAAUUCAAGGAAGCAGAGCGUUUAUUCAGCAAGUCAUCCGUCACGUCCGUUGCAGCAGUUUGUGCACUCGGCGGGAUACCAGAUCAUAUGAAUGAAAAACGCGAGGCAGGCAGCGGCACAGAAAGCGACGCCUCUCCAGAUCUCCAGAACCAAGAGAACGAGCCCAGCCAGGAGGACACGGAAGACGUGGACUCGACGUUGCAGGACCUAAAGCCCCAGAAGGCUGCCUCCUCUUCCUCCUCAGGCAGCCAUCACGGAAGCCACAAGAAGAGGAAGAACAAAAACAGACACAGGUACACAAACCAAAUACAUGAGGUGCUGUAUAAUGGGUGCUUAGUUUCCUGUUGUACUAUUUAUUGACGUAGAGUUCUGGGUUUUCUCUGCUAAAUAUAUUAGUUUGGUUGUAGCUGAUCAGUGUGAUGAUGAUCCCUGCAGAACCAGUUUACCAUUUAAUUAAAAAAAACAAAGCUAACAAAAGAAUUCAACUACUUUCAAGGUAGAGUUAUGAUUUCAUAUUGUCAAAUAAAAUAACAGGCAAGAUGUACAUUUCUUGCUAAUAAAAUAUAAGGUAGGAAUGGUGGAAUAACAACAUUUAUUUUGACUAUGCUCAAUCAAAAUAUAGCCAGAUUUCUCUCUAGUGUCUGAAUAUCUUUUGUCUUGUCAGCUGCAGAAUAAUCCAAAAGCAGUGAAAGAUGAUUUGUUUGAUUUCAUGAACAACAUUCAAACGACCAAACCAUAGGAUAUAAUGAGGACAGCAAUUCAAUUUUCUACUCCCAAACAUUAGACUGAAACGGCAUGUGUGUGAACAAUGAUAAAUACCAGUACAAAAGUAAUUUCUAGAACAAGAAAACUGUCAUAUUCUUGUCCCAGUACAGUUCAGUAUAUUGUCAUUUCUCAAAACUACUUUUAUUGUCUUGGAAUCCUUCUCAAGGCUCGCACACAUUACAGGGUUCUUCAAACCUUCACACAUAGAGAGCACACACUUAAUGAUAACAAAAGACAGAUGGCACAAGAUCUCUCUCUUCUGAUCUUAUAGUGUGUGGUGUGCACUAUAGAGCACACAACACACUAACCGAUUCUUCAGCAGAGUAUCAGGUUCUUCACGCUCAAUAUUCCAAAUCUCGCGUAGUAAAACGGGACUUCGGUGUAAACAAACAUGGACGGAAUUUCGGUCCAGCUCUUCUCUUUGUCCGUCCUGUUGUGGUAGUUUUUGGACGAAACGUUAUAUAAACAUUCAUGCUGUUGCCACAAAUCAACCAGUUGGUCUUCAAUUUCAGAGAUCCAAGAGACUUUUGUUUUCACCGACGCCAUGUUUUUGUUUGUUUUUACUUCCUCUUCCGUCAGUCAGCUGAGUCAGCUUGCGUCUUGAUUGGCUUUUGCUCCGGUACAUGUGACAUUACACACUGUGCAUGCUCGGCUCCUCUCGAAGCAUCUCACACACUACAGGAUUUCCAGUUGCUAAUAUUAAACAUGUUCAUUAUUUACCAUCUGUCCUUCUGGGGCCUCCCGAGCGGCUCCGACCGGACAAAAUCACUCUUAACACACCCCACACCACAGGAAAAUCAGACACCAUGUUGUUUGCAAACAUCAGACAAUCAGGCCUUUGCUGGCUUUGAUAGUAAGGGGGGAGAUCAUGACAAAAAUCAGCCCGAUUAUCCUGUAGUGUGUACCCACCUUUAGGGAGGAGGGAAUCCCAGUCCUAGUUAAAGCUCAUGUAAGGAGUUUUUAACUGGUCGCAAAAUUUAUACUGAUGCCACUUUAUGAGCGGCAAAAGCAAACCAGACCUUCAGCAACAAACUCUUUCUUUUUUGUGAUUACUACUCGUGUUAGGGGUUUCAUACAACAAUUUCUCGCAUGCAGAUUUGCACAAUGACUAAUACAUUUAGCUUUGAAAGGAAAGCAUGUUAAGAUUUUCUAGUCAGAGAACAGAAACUCAACAUUUACAGGAAAAGUUCAGGAAAGAGAUGAACCGCUUUUUCCUCAUGGGGGCGCCACAAACUCACCGACUGUUCCUCACAGGAGCUGAAAAAAGUGAUGAUUGGUUUGUUUAUUUUCAGAGUGAAUUGUGUUGUAAUAAGAAGAAAAUGUCUGUUUUUUGUAUUGAAUUGUUAUUUACACUUCUGUUGUUUUGUUCCCAUAACAUUUCAUGUCAACCUGUUUUUUCUGAAGUCUGACGCUAACCACACAUUAACACAGCAGGUGCUUCAACUUGCUAACAGUGACAGCAGAGUGGCUCUCUCACUCUGUAAAGUCUGGACUGCAGUAUUAUGUAGACGUAGGGCUUUAGACUCAGGUUGGUGAACUAACAGCUGCUGCUUUCUUCCUCCCUCCUAAUGCUGACCCCCUCCCUCCCUCAGUCCUUCUGCCAUGUUUGAUUAUGACUUUGAGUAAGUCUGGAUUUUACUUCCUGCUCCUGCUGUGUGUACAUCCUGCCUGCUUGUAAACCCCAUCCUCAACUUUUCCACCUUUCUUCCUGCUUUCAGUCUGCUCCUGCUGAACUAGAGUUUGAGUUAAAGCCUGCUAGUUUUCCAGUCAUACUGCAUGUCCAACACUGAAAUCUUUACAUGUGAAUGCACAUCAGCAACCCGCACUCUGAACUCCAUUAGAUUCUCUUGCUUGCUCCUGGGAGUUGUUUUCAUAUCUUUCUUACCCCAGGUUCCUUUUCGAGUGUGUUUCCCCGAUUCAACAGCAAUGAUGCAAAACAUUGCUGGUUUUUCUCCGAUGCUGGGCCUGCUGCAGAUCUGUGCAUAAACAAGAACAAACACAUGUUCAUUUAGCGUUCUUGUUAUGGGCUUGUUUUUUAGGCUUUUUCAUGACACAGUAGUGGUUUGGCUUUCACCAGUAUUCCCAUCAAAACCAGGUUAUGAUCUGUUCUUGUCUAAUGUAACCCUACUUUGGUUUUGUUGCAGAUUUGACAUGAAGGUGAACAAGAAACCCAGAGCUGAUUAUUCGACCUAACAACAACGACUCGAGGACCUGGACACACACAAGGAUACGUUUAGAAAAACACAAGAUAUCUGGACUUUGUGAACUUUUUACGUUUUUUGUUAUUUUUUCUCAGUUUUCAUAUUUCAGCCUGUACUGUGUGUAUUGCUUGAAACAUUCCCCUCACCACCUACCUUUUGGUCAUGGUUAACAUUUUUGAUCUACUACCAUCAAGUAGAAACAUGGUGUUGCAUGUUACUUGAGACCUGAUGAGGCCCUCCUCCGGUAACACACCAUCUUGUAUAGUGUUAAAAAAAGAUUGUAUUUAUUACGUAGUUGAUUUUCCAUGUCUCCUGUUGUAAGAAAGUCAUGUUUUUUGUUAAGCGUCACAUAGUCGUUUACCCCUGAAUACCCUGGUAUUCUUUUAUUACAUGGAUUGUUUUUCAAGAAAAUAAAAAAAUACCAGUAAUGAU